rnacentral:rRNA from 1 species
AACGAACGCUGGCGGCAUGCCUAACACAUGCAAGUCGAACGAUGGUCUUCGGAUCAUAGUGGCGCACGGGUGCGUAACGCGUGGGAAUCUGCCCUUGGGUUCGGAAUAACAGUUGGAAACGACUGCUAAUACCGGAUGAUGUCGAUAAGGCCAAAGAUUUAUCGCCCGAGGAUGAGCCCGCGUCGGAUUAGCUAGUUGGUGGGGUAAAGGCCUACCAAGGCGACGAUCCGUAGCUGGUCUGAGAGGAUGAUCAGCCACACUGGGACUGAGACACGGCCCAGACUCCUACGGGAGGCAGCAGUGGGGAAUAUUGGACAAUGGGCGCAAGCCUGAUCCAGCAAUGCCGCGUGAGUGAUGAAGGCCUUAGGGUUGUAAAGCUCUUUUACCCGGGAAGAUAAUGACUGUACCGGGAGAAUAAGCCCCGGCUAACUCCGUG